rnacentral:sRNA from 1 species
UAUCAGUUUUUUAAAGACAAGGGAGAGCAUGAAACUUUUGAUUCGCUAACCUGCCACAUUUUCAGACAGAAGGCGGCAGUGAUUCAAGAAAGGAAAAUAAGAAGAAAUGCAAAAUGUGUUGUGUCUACCUUUCUGCAUCAAAGCAUGUGAGCUCUAUUUGAAUGUGGAAUUUAAAUGGAUAUACUAUUGUGUAAAUCGGCUUAAAUAACAGCAAAAUGAUUGGUGUCUGCACUAAUUAUUAAUUUUCCGAAGGUCCGAAGACAAUCACGGUUUUAUUUUUUAUUGUCGUACAGCAAAAAAUACUUGUUAAUAUUUACAUUUGAAAAUAUUCUUCCUUUUAAUAUGUUUUACGUUGCAACUGUUGGGGCGAGGGCGAUCAAAUCUUCUUAGAAGCCCUUCGGGCGUCACAGGAUUUGAUCAUUUGACCAAACAAAGUCAUAUCCUGGUGAACUUUUUAAUUUGCCGUUUAUUUCCUAAAUGAAACAUGCAUAAAAAAUGCAAGGUAUUGACAUCUUAUUUACGUUAUUUUGAGAGACUGUUGUAACAUUAAGUGUCGUUUAAUUUGAAUUGUCAAUGCAUCUGUCAAGAUCACCUAGAACCAUUGUGGCUGAUUUUUCAAAUAGUAACGUAUUCGUUUUCAUAUAGCCCACUUUUCAAAUAUAUAUUUUAAUCAUUUUAAUCUAGCUAGAUAUCGUAACGGUUUAAUUACUUUUACCUAUUCUUUGCAAUGAGUAUGACUUUAAACCUUGGAAUACAGAUAUCAAUUUU